GCGGUCGUGGCGAAACGGCAGACGCGCUAGCUUCAGGCGCUAGUGGGAGAAAUCCUGUGGUGGUUCAAAUCCACUCGGCCGCACCA
rnacentral:tRNA from 1 species